GAUCAUGGCUCAGGAUGAACGCUAGCGACAGGCUUAACACAUGCAAGUCGAGGGGCAGCAUAAAAGUAGCAAUACUUGGUGGCGACCGGCGCACGGGUGAGUAACGCGUAUGCAACCUACCUAUCAGAGGGGAAUAACCCGGCGAAAGUCGGACUAAUACCGCAUAAAACAGGGACACCGCAUAGUGAUAUUUGUUAAAGAAAUUCGCUGAUAGAUGGGCAUGCGUUCCAUUAGGUAGUUGGUGAGGUAACGGCUCACCAAGCCGACGAUGGAUAGGGGAACUGAGAGGUUGGUCCCCCACACUGGUACUGAGACACGGACCAGACUCCUACGGGAGGCAGCAGUGAGGAAUAUUGGUCAAUGGGCGAGAGCCUGAACCAGCCAAGUCGCGUGAAAGGAAGAAGGAUCUAUGGUUCGUAAACUUCUUUUGCAGGGGAAUAAAGUGCAGGACGUGUCCUGUUUUGUAUGUACCCUGAGAAUAAGGAUCGGCUAACUCCGUGCCAGCAGCCGC
rnacentral:rRNA from 1 species